UGUAAAGUUCAAGCUCCGAUUAUGAGGGCGAAACCGCGAAUGGCUCAUUAAAUCAGUCAUAAUCUACUUGAUUGUUUCCAGUUUAUAUGGAUAACUGUGGUAAUUCUAGAGCUAAUACAUGCACAAAGGGGGCGACUCUUUCGCGAGAGAAGCUCUGCGUUUAUUAGACUAAGACCAAUGAUAGCUUGCUAUCUUGUUCAAGGUGACUCUGAGUAAAUAAUGGGUGAAAGCCCAUGGUGCUGACCUGAUAUACCAAAAAGCCCGCAAGGGUUUGUCAGGCAAAUCAAUCGUGUGUCUGCUCUAUCAACUGUGGAUGGUAGGAUAAUUGCCUACCAUGGUGAUGACGGGUAACGGGGAGUUAGGGCUCGACUCCGGAGAACAAGCCUGAGAAACGGCUAGUAGGACUAAGGUCUGCAGCAGGCGCGAAACUUACACAAUGCUAGAUUACAAUUAGCGAUGUAGUGAAGAAAAAUAACGAUGUAUUUCCAUUUAAACAUGGUAGUACAAUUGGAAUGAGACGACUUUAAAUCAGUUAGUCGAGUAACAAAUGGAGGGCAAGUCUGGUGCCAGCAGCCGCGGUAAUUCCAGCUCCAUUAGCAUACAUUAAAGUUGUUGCGGUUAAAAAGCUCGUAGUUGAAUUUUAGGCGGGCUCUAUUGGGGUGCAAUCGUUAAGGUCCUCUGGUCUUAGGGUUCGCCCUAUGCUCCAGUGUGACUGGUUGUCAUCUUCCUAUAGGAACUCGCUGUUUCGUCACUUAAUCGAGUGCGAAGCGGGCUGGAACGAGGCUACGACUUCGGUCUACCUUGUGUCAGCGUGUUUACCUUGAGAAAAUUAGAGUGCUCACAGCAGGCAGUUGGGGUGUAAAAGCUCCUUUAUGCUUGAAUAAUGUUGCAUGGAAUAAUAGAAUACGGCCUCGGUUCUAUUCUGUUGGUCUUAUAGAACAACAAACAAGUUGGUUAAAGCGAUCAAAAGUCUAUAGGUGAGUGUGGUUUAGAGGUAGCCUGUUGGUUGUUGGUUAACUUGCGCUCAUGUCUUGUUGCCUGGGCCCUAAAAAUCUCAGAGCCUUACGUGGCGCCUAGUUGCCUCCUUUUCCAACUAGGCACGCCUCUCUUCCAUCCAAAGCACUCCUUAUACGGCUAGCUUCUAAUCAACUGAGGCAAUGGUUAAAAGAAAUAGUCGCGGCGGCAUCAGUACUGCAUCGUGAGAGGUGAAAUUCUUAGACCGAUGCAAGACUAACUGAAGCGAAAGCGUUUGCCGAGGAUAUUUUCAUUAAUCAAGAACGAAAGUUAGAGGUUCGAAGGCGAUCAGAUACCGCCCUAGUUCUAACCAUAAACGUUGCCAACUAGCAAUUGGGUUGCGAUUCCUUUAAUCGAAGCUUAAAAACCUUCGAUCAUUAUGAUCCACCCAGCGGCUCUCGUAGGGAAACCAAAGUGUUUGGGUUCCGGGGGAAGUAUGAUUGCAAAGUUGAAACUUAAAGGAAUUGACGGAAGGGCACCACCAGGAGUGGAGCCUGCGGCUUAAUUUGACUCAACACGGGGAAACUUACUAGAUUAGAACUCUGGAAUGAUUGACAGAUUGAUAGCUCUUUCUUGAUUCAGAGGAUGGUGGUGCAUGGCCGUUCUUGAUUCGUAUUCCGAAACGUCUGCUUAAUUGCGAUAACGAGUGAGACCUCAUCCAACUAACUAGUCGCUUGGUGCGCUGUGGAACGCAAAAGUCUUGGUGGGAUUGGUCCUAGUGGGUUGCUGGUUCGCUAGUGGAUCUGCUAGGCUGCCUAUUUAAGAUGUUCUCUGCUCGCCAGCGGACUUCUUAGAGGGAUAAACGGUGCUUUAGCCGUAAGAAACGAG
rnacentral:rRNA from 1 species